rnacentral:rRNA from 1 species
CGGCACGGGUGAGUAACACGUAUCCAACCUGCCGUCUACUCUUGGCCAGCCUUCUGAAAGGAAGAUUAAUCCAGGAUGGCAUCAUGAGUUCACAUGUCCGCAUGAUUAAAGGUAUUUUCCGGUAGACGAUGGGGAUGCGUUCCAUUAGAUAGUAGGCGGGGUAACGGCCCACCUAGUCAACGAUGGAUAGGGGUUCUGAGAGGAAGGUCCCCCACAUUGGAACUGAGACACGGUCCAA